UUGAAAGGGAAACGAUUGAAGUCAGUCGUACUAACGGGGAAUCAACUCUUCGAGUGCUCACUUGUGGGCGUGCGUGAGCCUUAAAACCUCGCUGUUUGCAAUGUUUGUGCUUUUUGGGUGUAAUUUUUCGUAUGGUAGGCCAACGUCAGUUUCGUUUACCAUAAAAUGAUCGGAGGAAUGUAGCUUCGAUCUCGUAUUGAAGUGUUAUAGCCCCUGGUAGAUGUGGUAAACGAAACUGAGGAUUGCAACGAAUACCCUUUGGGCUAUCCGUCUGGCCUCUGAAAGUUGCUUAGGUGCCGAAAGCAUGCUUACGGUUAUUUAAGUUCACGAUCAAUAGGUUAGAACGUGAUUACAUUCGUUAAGGAUGUUGACGUA
rnacentral:rRNA from 1 species